UGCUCCCUACUUCCAUGAAAACUGCUCCUCCUACUAACCAUAUAUUUUUCUGCAACAACGUCUUCUUCUCUCCCUCAAUUUAAAUUCAUGAUCAAAUAAUUGAGAAUAAACAAAACAAAUUGUAUUCACUUCCUUCAAUAUAACGCCGUGGGUAUGUAUUAAUUUACAAUUGAUAUGAAGACACAAGAAAAACUAAAUGGAGGAAUCACUGCAAAUUAAGGAAUUCGAAGAAGUUACUUCCGCUGAAGAAUUCGAGUCUCAAAUUGAAUCCCUAAACGUUCCCGCGAUAUGUUUCACAAAUUAAUUAAUCAUGAACACUCUAUCUAUUUCUCUUAAUUGCUUAAUUAUGUUUUUUUGUUGUUGUAAUUUUGUUUAGUUUUAAUUAUUGUUUCCGAUUUUGAUGUGGAAUCAACGUUUUCAGAGGAUGUGUGAAGGAUUGGAAAGCUUUCCAGAGCAAGAAUCUUAUCAAUGGCGAUCCCGAUUAUUUGCAGGGCCGGCGGCUAGCCAUAGUCACCAUCUCACCACCACUUCCGACCAGCCACAGCUCCACUUCCAAUAACAAUCUUCACAGCUUCACCCGGCCACCUCUGAAUUUCUGAACCAUCACCACAAACCACACAGAGACGCCUCCAAGUUCGAGGAGAAGUUCUGGAGAUUCGUUGUUUGUGCUUUGUUUCUCUUUGAUCCUAGAGGUAUUCGUCUAUGUAUUACUCCAAAAUAAUUCAAAUCGAAUUAUAACUAGAUGAUUUAUAUUGUUGAGGAUUUUCAGACAAUUUUCUUUAAGGUGUUAUGGAGAGGCAACUAAGGCCAUGUUUGUGACGUACAUAGAGG